AUGGAGGCCGAGAGCGCUCAAAGAAAGGAUGGCGGAAUGGAGGCGCGGCCUGGCGUUGCCGACAGCAAGCGGCCCGAGAGGGGUUUUUUGCGGGGGCGGGAGAGAGAAGGGGGAGGGUGUGGGCUUUGGCAGCAGGGACCGGCAUCGAGCCAGUACGCUGGCGGCGGAUCUGCUCGAGGAAGCGCCUCCGAGACUCCUCGCCGAGGCACUUCAUCCUCGGAGCUGCUGCGCGUCUUGUCGUCCUCCUCAUGCGCGCGCGUCGCGCCGUCCGUGCACGACCCGGCAGCAGAGCCGCGCAGCUUGCAUCGCCCGGGGCAGGGUGAGUCAUCAAAGUGUGUGUCGUCUCUCGGAUGGACAUUAAACUGGGCGCUCCAUCUGCCGGAAUUAUCUGUUAAUGUUAAAGAUCCCACGGUGUCCUUCACGAAGAGUCGGCGAGCUAUCGCCGGCACCACGACCAAAUUACAAAUUCAUGCCCUAACUACUGCUGCGAAGGCAACAGCAAACUACCCAGUAGAACUCUUGCCAAGAAAUUGCCUUGGCAGCACCAACGCUCUGCAACAGACUAUGAUACAUCAGAAUCAGACUACACACACACACACACACACGUUUGUUCACAUCACACUGACCGGACAAUGGGCAGAAAGUUUGAAUAAAGGAAACGCCUCCACAAAGAAUGCUUUCAACCACAUUCUUGGAACAAAAUAAAUGAAUAAUGGAAUAAAGUUUUUUACAUCUUAUACUACUCAUUGUUUGCUUCCAAUUACUUCAUUAAAUGGCUCGGUUUGGAAGAGUUCCCUUCUGAAUCCCUGGCUCGUAGCACAGAGAACCAGGUUUACAUCUUGUAUACCACAAUCGUUUGUCCAUCGUCUCCCAAUGUCCUUGUAAUACACGAUAACGUACACCGACGCCUCUGUCCCCCAUGUGACCGAUGUCCAACGUCUUCCACGAGCCAAAGAUGGUUUAAAAAAGAAAUGUAUUCAUACAAAUGAUACAAAGCGAGGUAUGUUUAUUUACCUUCCCCAGGUAGAUAUUUCCAAGGCUAUAAAAUGGUUCCUAUUGUUGUGCAAAAUCCAUGUUCUUGACUCAUCGUAUACACCGUUGUGAGGGUGGCCUCGACAGAGAGACAGAGAGAGGAGAGAGAGAGACAGACAGACAGACAGACAGAGAGAGAGAGAGAGA
rnacentral:lncRNA from 1 species